GGAAGCCAACCCCCGGUCACAUCUUAAAUAGGGCUGCCUGCACAUGCUUCUCCUUACAUUACCCUUAACUUAUCAUCCAUUGAUCUCUCUCUCUCUCAAGAUUCUUUUCAUUUCAGUUUCACGUGGGUUUAACAAAGACUUGCUUACACACAUUUUUGGCAUUCUGUCCACCUCCCUUCUCUCUUUCUUUUUGCUUUGCUUUGGAGGUGGGCAUACUGCCAACAGAUAUGUGUUUAGCUUCUCUUUGUAAAAUCUUCUUGAUUAUAUUUUUCUAUCUCACAUCUUCUUUUUUUUCUUCUCUUAUCUACACGAUCAAUAUGUUGUGUUUGUUUUUUCAUUUUUGUUUGUGCAGGAUCCUACUACUCUUUGCUUGCAAAAAAGAUCGCCUCCGUUGGUUGAAAAUUGAAAUACAUACACAUAUAUAUAGUACAUACGUACUUUCUCUUUAAAGUGGAAACCUAAUGAUCAAUUUACUUUGUUCCUUCAAGGUAACAUAGUACAAUAAGCAUUUAUUGAAUGGUGAUCAUCCCUCCCUUUUGCUUACACACAACACAACUGGCCUCUAUCUAUCUGAACACAAUUGUCUAGGCUCAUGAUUGAAACCUGACACCAAUUGUCUACACUCUUUUCAUGGCGCGUGGCUUCACAUUAAUACCACUAUUACCAAGUUUUUGAUUACCAAUUCGACUUGAACUUCGUAAACGUGGAGAUUUAAUUGGAGCUUCCAACAUUUCUUGUGUCCUCUGUUGUGAAUUUGGAAUCUUGUGCUCACCUCUUUUUUAGGUGUUUUUGCUAAACAAAGUGUGGCUCUAAUGGCUACAAUAUAUAUGUUCAACACUGUUAUCUAGAAUAUAAUUUGAGCAUUAACAUAAUUCGACAAAAGAGAUGAUUAAUACAA